rnacentral:rRNA from 1 species
GAUCAUGGCUCAGGAUGAACGCUGGCGGCGUGCUUAACACAUGCAAGUCGAACGAAGCGCUUAAGAUUGAUUCUUCGGAUGAAGUUUUUUGUGACUGAGUGGCGGACGGGUGAGUAACGCGUGGGUAACCUGCCUCAUACAGGGGGAUAACAGUUAGAAAUGACUGCUAAUACCGCAUAAGCGCACAGGGUCGCAUGACCUGGUGCGAAAAACUCCGGUGGUAUGAGAUGGACCCGCCG